rnacentral:lncRNA from 1 species
CUCCGUGCUCCUGGGAAACAAGUCAGUGAUUAACCACAAGGAACUCAAGCUGACAACACACCUGGGACAAGGAGCUUACGGAACCGUGUACGAAGCAAUCUGGCUCGGUCACAAGUUUGCAGUGAAAGUCUUCCCUCAAGGUGACACCAGCUUCGCCAAAGAGCUCGCGGUUCUUGAAGCGGACAAGCAUCCCAACGUGUUGCACAUCGCCAGCCAUUCUUUCGAUGCAGAGAAGCAGCGGUACUCGCUGGUGAUGGAGAAGAUGGACAUGGACCUGGCAAACUACCUCCUCAAGAAGAAGAAGUCUCUCCCGUUGCUGUCGAUCGUGGCAGUGAUGCUCCAAGUUGCUACUGGCAUGGCGUGGCUUCACUCGAAGAAUAUAAUCCACCGGGACCUCAAGCCGCAGAACAUCUUGGUUGGCGAAGAAGACAACGAUCUCGUGAGUAUCAGGAUUGCCGACUUUGGAGUCUCGAGGCCCGAUUUCAUCUCCUCCCUCAUCAGCGAAGCCACCGCCAAGCAAGGCACCAGAAACUUCAUGGCACCGGAAGUGUGGAGCGGCGAGCGCUACACGAAAAAGGCCGACGUUUACAGCUACGGGAUGAUGAUUUACCAGCUUGUCACUGGAAACGUUCCGUUCGAGGACGGGAUGGACAUGGAGCAAGUCCUUCGAGGCGAGCGUCCUGAGGUACCAGCAACCUGUCCAGAGUUCCUGUCGCAGCUCAUGCGGGAAUGCUGGAGCCACGAUGCAAAAGAGAGGCCUUCCUUCUCGGAUAUCUGUGAGCGGCUGAAGCAGCUCAAGACCAGGAUCAUCACUGGCACCGACUCCAUCGACGAGUUACGAGCCAAGUUGGUUGAAGCAGCCAGGUCAUCUUCCUCUUCUUCGUACUCGUCGUCUUCCUCGUCCUCGUCGCACAGCAUGAACCUGGAUUCUCCUGUCCAAGCACCUGAGGGGCUUUGGACCCAAAAUCCUCCAUCUCCCGUUGUCCAGGUAAACUCUUUUGCUUUUAGUAACUCCACCUUUAGUUUCAGCCGGCACCACACCGUCCUCAGCACGUCGCACCAGCAGCAAAGCCGGAUAACAGGGCCGAGCUCUUCGAACUGGUGAAGAACGGCCUCGUCAAAAACGCCUUUGAGAAAGCUCUGUCCCUGAACGAUCCUUCCACGUUCUGGUGGCUUUGCACCAAGGUAAUCCAUUCACGUCCUCCAGCUGCUCAUCAAAGCUUUGUCAGCUCAGGUGGAGGAAAGCGUCCUGCUCACCUUCAGUGAAUCAAUGCUCAUGGAAGUGGCCGAGCAAAUCAACACCAACUUCAAGGAAGACACUGCUCGCAGGUUGCUCUGGAUGGACGAGAUCCUGGCCAUCUUGAUGUUGGUCGACACAUCACCUCGGAUGCGGAGGAUAUUGGAGAAGCUUUCACAGAACCUCCACGGCAUGAUGGCUAUAACACCUUCAAAGAACGAGCUGGGGAUGAAGCUGGCGAGAGUGCUGGAAGAUACCAACUUGGGUCUUCAUGUACGUAUGAAACUCUUCGUGUUAUUCGUUUGAUUCAAAUCGUUUGUCGUCGCAGGAUAUCCGAGUUGAGAACAGCAAAGCUGAGAAGAAAGGGAAAAGAAAACAGGGACCUAUGAUGUGAAAUAAAACAGCUAUAUAUUUCCAGCGGAACACCGGUAGUUUCUGAGUAUUGAGAUCUAAUUUUCUGCCUGCCAAAAGUAUCAACCAUGCUUCACGAAAGAACCAUAAAGAACUUACCAAUUCCCAUUCGUAACUUCGUCUCAUCCUGCCGGGAUAAACGUGAAGGAAACUUACGAGAUAAAUAUCAAAGCACAAAGGUCUCACCAUUCUUUAGUUCUUAAACUCGAGUAGACGGUGAAGAUCCCAACCUUUUCGAUCUGGCAGCAGAGCCUUGGCAGCUUCCGCCGCAGCGCAGACACCAGUAGUUCUCGUAGGAUCAUCGCUCUCCGCUCAAAGAACGAUUUUGCCGCUUUCAACUUCUCGGGAUCCCCAUACUUGUAUGGCUUGUAGACGAUCCCGGCAGCUAGCCGUUGCUUCUUGAGCUUGGCUGGACGAACGUACGCAUCGCCCAGUCUCUUCAAGCGCUUCUGGAUCACUCUCCUCCGGUACACUUGCGGCUCGGGGAUCUUGGGAUCGGCGAGCGGCAGGCGAUCCGGAGGAGGCACAGCAACCCACCUGAAAAUCCGAUCGUUCGCGUCACCGCCUCCCGCUUUGUUGCGCUUGGCCGGAUUCUUGGAGCCGGCGCCCUCGCCGUGCAAGCACUGCGUGUGGACGAGGAAUUUGCUCCGGAGCCACACGAGUAAGCGCCUGCUCUUGAUCCCUUCCUUCGCGUGAGAUUGCGCGAUCCAAUCGGGCCAUAGGUGCGAACAUUCUGCGUCGGCAGAUCCUUGGGGCUCUUCUUGGCGUAGACCUCGUGGAUGUAGAGGCGCAACGAGCGAGCUCCACUUAAAGAACCCUAUCGAAAUAUCGAUUGCAGAACAGAAUCGAACUAGAACAAGAACAGCAUGAUCCAUUUCUAGUCUCUCGUAAGUCCACGAUUGACGAGGUCGAGCGCGCAACCUGUGCUCGCUGCGCCAAGAAGAAUCCGCCAAACUUUCUGGACAGGCGCUCAAGACGUUACGUGCAAACCACUGGUGGGCAUGCAGGAUAGUGUCGUCAAACGCUAUGCUACCGGGAUGCGAGAGUGAACUAGCAGGGCGGAAACUAGGGUAUCCUGGCCGUCCAAUCCUAAACAACCUGUUUGGAGUACUGAAACAAGAAAAGCCAUACACGGAUUUUCUUAUGCCUGAUUAAAGUAUCCCAGACAAGACUUAGAACUUAGAAUAUUCAAAAAGAAAAGUCCACGGUAGACACUCUGCAAAGAAAUGGAGCGGCGCUAGUGGUGAUCACCAACGAGCAUGGCAGCAGCGACUUUGCUCGAGGCGAUUCGAAUCGCGGACAAGGUUGGCACAAGAUCCACGAACACAAACUCGAGCAAGGUCUGUAGAAACCCAUGUAGGAUCCUCAUCGCGGCGGUCGGCUAUGUCCGAGACUACCUCAAGCAAAUCCAAGAUCUCAACUUCACGAGCAACGGGCCAGCCUUCGUGUGGGACGAAACCGUGGCUGUCCUUCACAGAGGCCUCCAUCUCCUCAAGUCAUGCCAAGAUGGCGAUUGGAUCGCCCGGAGCCUGCUGUUCGAGGAAAGCUGCGAUGAGUUCCAGAGCAUUUACCACGAGAUCUACAACUGCGUCGAGCUCGUCAGCGUCUAUCUCUUUCAGCUGGCACCGUCCACCUCGCACAGAUCCAGGAUUGCCGAGGCUUACAACUCGUGCCUCAUGAGGCAGAACUCGAGCAGCAUGCUGGAAGAAGCCGGAAGGAACGAUCGGAAGGAGCUCAUGGCUCUCGCAAUGAACCAAGAGCCGGGAAGCCUGACGACCGAGACAGAACGAGCCAAAGAGAUACUCUGCUCCAUGCUCCUGGGAAACAAGUCAGUGAUCAACCACAAGGAAUUGAAGCUGAGAACACACCUGGGACAAGGAGCUUACGGAACCGUGUACGAAGCAAUCUGGCUCGGUCACAAGUUCGCGGUGAAAGUCUUCGCUCAAGGUGACACCAGCUUCGCCAAAGAGCUCGCGGUUCUCGGAGCUCACAAGCAUCCCAACGUGUUGCACAUUGCUGGCCAUUCUUUCGAUGGAGAGAAGCAGCGGUACUCGCUGGUGAUGGAGAAGAUGGACAUGGACCUGGCAAACUACCUCCUCAAGAAGAACUCCCUCUCGUUGCUGUCGAUCGUGGCAGUGAUGGCUACUGGCAUGGCUUGGCUUCACUCGAAGAACGUAAUCCACCGGGACCUCAAGCCGCAGAACAUCUUGGUUGGCGAAGAAGACAACGAUCUCGUGAGUAUCAGGAUUGCCGACUUUGGAGUCUCGAGGCCCGAUUUCAUCUCCUCCCUCAUCAGCGAAGCCACCCCCAAGCAAGGCACCAGAAACUUCAUGGCACCAGAAGUGUGGACCAGCGAGCGCUACACGAAGAAGGCCGACGUUUACAGCUACGGGAUGCUGAGCUACCAGCUUGUCACUGGAAACAUUCCGUUCAAGGUCGGGAUGGACAUGGAGCAAGUCCUUCGAGGCGAGCGUCCUGAGAUACCAGCCACCUGUCCAGAGUUCCUGUCGCAGCUCAUGCGGGAAUGCUGGAACCACGAUGCAAAAGAGAGGCCUUCCUUCUCCGAUAUCUGCAAGCGGCUGAAGCAGCUCAAGUCCAGGAUCAUCACUGGCACCGACUCCAUCGACGAGUUACGAGCCAAGUUGGUUGAAGCAGCCAGGUCAUCUUCCUCUUCUUCGUACUCGUCGUCUUCCUCGUCCUCGUCGCACAGCAGGACUCGAGUGAACCUGGAUUCUCUUGUCCAAGCGACUGAGAAGCUUUGGACCCAAAAUCGCCCGCCUUCUCGUGUCCAGGUAAACUCUUUUGCUUUUAGUAACUUCCGGACCCUCACCACCUUUGGUUUCAGCCGGUACCACACCGUCCUCACCAAGUCGCACCAUUACCAAAACCAGAUAAAAGGACCGAGCUCUUCGAACUGGUAAAGAACGGCCUCAUCAUAAACGCCUUCGAGAAAGCUCUGUCCCUGAACGAUCCUUCCACAGUCUGGUGGCUUUGCACCAAGGUAAUCUGUUUACGCUCUCUGGCCGCUGAUCACGCCCGUCCUUUGUCAACUCAGGUAGAGCAUACCGUGCUGCUUGUCUUCAGUGAAUCGAUGCUCAUGGCACUGGCCGAGAAAAUCAACACCAACUUCACGGAAGACACUGCUCGCAGGCUGGUCUGGAUCGACGAGAUUGGCGACUUGCUGUUAAAAGACCGCAAUGGAUGGGCAUCACCUCGGAAGAUGAGGAUCCUGGAGCAGCUUUCACAGAACCUCCACGGUAUGAUGGCCAUAACACCACCAAAGAGUGAGCUGCGCAUGACCUUGACGAACAUGCUGGAAGGCACCAACAUGUGGCUGCAGGUUCGUACAUAUGAAGCUCUUCGUUUCUUUCGUUUCCAUCUCCUUGAUUCACAUCGUUUUGUUGCAGCGUGUCCGGGUUGCAGUGGAAAACAAAGUUCGAUACAUGAGCAUCGUUGGCGGAUAUUUUCCAGCGGAACACCGGUAGUUUCUGGAUGUUGAUGUCCUGGCAUAAAACAUGCUUCACCUUACCCUGGCCAGCAAAACUUACGAGGAAAAGAAUGAGCUCAACAGCCGUGACCUUUGGCAAGCUGAAGAUCUUGCUCCCCAACUGAAAUCGCUUGCUCGCUCGCCUAAACCCUAAUUUCGCUCAGUUAAUGAUCGAUUCCAGCCUGGAUUUGAAUUGAAAGGGUUGCGGCACUGCUUGCUGCCGCUGGAGACGAUCUGAUGUCCCUGUUGCUACAAGGGAAGGCUUCCUUGGGCUGGAGAUUUGCUGAUGCUGCCAAGAGGCCUCUCUUCUUGUUGGGCACUAGGCGUGGAAUUGCUGUGCGAAAGGGCCUUGAGGCUGAUGGAGAGAUCACAUUCGAGUGGGGCAGAUGGAGCUGGUUCCUGAUGGGUCCUGAUACAAGCUGGGGUGUGUGCAAGCUUGGAUACCAUGCUGCUGCUGCUGUUCAACACCACAAGAUGCUGAUUUCAUGAGCUCGGCUUUUCUGGCUGAGUGGGGAGUGAGAUAGGGUUCCCAGUGGUAGUUUUUUUUUUUUUUAGCCUUUGCAUACUGAUCUCGGAGCAAUAGAGUUUUUUUCUUUUCUUCCUUAGUUUUCAACAUGGACAACACAAGUAGCCUGUGGAUUAAUGAGGUACAAUAGAAGAGGAUCUAGCCCAGCUUGAUUAGGAAUUUCCACUGUUGGAGCUUACAUGAUCUCUUUUUGUUGAAGACAUGAAAUGCUGAAUUAAGCCAUACUGACAGUAUGUAUAGAAUCUGGCCACCUGCAACAUAUGUCAAUAAGCCACUUUCUACUGGUGAUGAUUACUUACAUAACAAAGCUAAAUCAAUGGUGCUUGACAUACACCCCAGGAUCUUCAUCUUGCUCCAUGAUCUCAAGUACAACAUUUGGAAGCUUGCAUGUGAGGAAACCCUGGAUAACCACAGCGAAAUCUUCCAAGAACUUGAUAAGUCUUCAAGAGUAUCAACGAUUGCCUUACAAGUCUCAUUCCUAGUCACAGUACUUUCGCUGAUUCUGUAGAGCUCUAAGAGUGUGAUAUACUUCUGCUCCGUUUCAUAGCUUGUACAAAGUACAAGCAACCCAGAUUUGCACAAAAACUGCUCUACGAUAGCUGGUAUCUUGCUUUCGAAUGUGAUGGUGUAGGAGAUGCACAAUACUAUUAAAUGUUGUCUUUCAUGGGCUUGAUAUCUAGCCUGAAUAAAGAACUUGCUCUAGCUCGUCAAACAUUUCUUGCAUGAUCCUCAUUUGUAGUUUCUCUGGGAUCAAAGCUUGCUUCCCAGCCUCAUCAAGGUUGCACAUCAGUUACUCUUGUUAUAUUUUUCUACUCUACUGUUGAGAAGCUUCACUAAGAUGCACUCCCACUUCUUGGCUAUCGACACCAUCUUUUCUCGUUGAUCUAUGUUCAUUAACUCAUCUUUAGUCUCAUGGAGCUUCACAUUGAUGAGGAGCAUAAUUUCUACAAGAGACCAAUUUGGCAUGUGAUCUCUUGGUAGUAAAGUUCUUGCUUUUGUUAGUGACGGCCUUAGCAGUAGCAACAUGAAGAGAUGGCCCAGACCCGUCAGCAGUAAAAGCAACCUCAGUAGCAACAAGAAAAUUUCUUCCAUUGAAAGCUUUUCUAUUACUUUGAAAGUUCUAAAAAUGCUUGUUUACCUCUAAAGUUCUUUUUAUGUAUGUUGCUCCUCAUAAAAGAUCCUUGGCAAGCACAAGAACUGAUAGUGCUAGAACUUCCAAGGAAUGGAGGAUGUGUUCUUCCAUAACAAAGCAAAAAUUCACACUUUAAGUGGAAAAAUUGAUAAAUCACUUUUUUACAUAGAAUUCUUGCUCGUAUAGUUGUUCCCAACUUCUGGCAACAAAUUGACGCGCUCCCAAUUUCCCACUACAAAGCAAUUCAAUCAAUCCACACUAAGAACCAAAAUUUGUACUAAGAGCUAACAUAUCUUAAAUCAAUUAAUCUGAUCUGACCAGCAAUUNNNNNNNNNNNNNNNNNNNNNNNNNNNNNNNNNNNNNNNNNNNNNNNNNNNNNNNNNNNNNNNNNNNNNNNNNNNNNNNNNNNNNNNNNNNNNNNNNNNNNNNNNNNNNNNNNNNNNNNNNNNNNNNNNNUAAUGGUAAAUGGUAUGAAUUAAGUUUUUAUUAAUGACAUAUUUUAUUUAUAAUUUGAAGAGCAAAAGGGAUCAUGGGAUCAAAGUUGAUGACUUAACUAGGAGUUAAUGACUGUUAUUUAUUCAGACUUUCUAUGAGAAAGAGAAAGAGUGAGCCAUAUAAAUUGUUGAAAAUUGAUAUUUUACUAGUUCUUAUGUUUAUAUAUAGAUCUGGAAAUAUUGAGAAUCCAAAAGCACCCACUUUCCUAUUUUAAUAACCAACUUAUGAUUUGGGGGAUCAAAGAGUUAUUAAAAUAGGAAAGUAUAAAUUAUUUUCCCUUUUAUAAGUGCUUUUGGAUUCCAGACACAUAUAUAAACAUAAGAACUAAUAAAAUAUCAUUUUUUAGCAAUUUAGAUGGCUCACUCUUUCUCUUUCUCAAAGAAGAACAUGUAUCUCACAUAUUAGUAGGAGGAAGCAAAUAUCACUAAAACACAUCCAUCAUAUUACUUACAAGAGUAAUUUCAAUAUUAUACAACUUUUCUAAGUGAAAAAAGUUGAGGUAAAGGCCUUUGAGGUAGAAGUAGAGGUUGUUUUCAAGUGGAUGAUGUUAGGUCAUAGUAAAUACAUCAUGAGUUUAUAAAGUUCUUAGAUCAAUUUUCACUUUUCUUGCAAGUUUGAGUGCAAAAAGCUUGCUUAGUAUCCUAACCAAUUUGAUGGGGGAAGCUGAAAAAUUCAUGUAAGUGUUGAUAUUUCUCAAUAAUGAAUAUUGGGUAAAUUAGUGGAGAUGAAACUUUAACUUGUGCAUUUUCAUCUAGCUAGCAUAAGUAAAUCUUUGGAACAUAUCCCAUUCUCAUAGCGGAAAACUUAUAAACAAAAGUCUAUAUGUAAAAGCUUUUUAUAUGUAACUCUUUUUCCUUUGUAUGUUAGGCACAUUCUGUGAAAUAUAAGUAUUAUUCUUGCAUUCAAUAUAGACUUGCAAUAAGAACACUACAUUAGAUUGAUGGCUAGGGCUGUUUGUUUUUUCUUGCUUGGGUGUGUUGUCAUCCAUAUAUAGUGCUAUUAGCAAGUAGCAACAAAUGCCUUCAAAGGGUAAAACUAUAAUUUAUAUAUUAUGUCAGAAAGGUUUUCAUUAAUGAAAAGUAUCAUUCCAUGCAAAAGUUACAAUCAAUGCCAAAAAUAAAUAAACUCCUCCCCAAGUUAUGUGAUAUGUAAUGUUAUAAAACUAUAUGGAGCAUCGACUCACAAAAAAAGUUAUAACUCUGAAAAUAAGCAAAUAAAAUACUUAUAGCUAAGGUUCUUCUCAAAAUGUGAGAUGUGAAGUUAUUCACCAUUGCUAUGCACACAGCUUCACUUUACAUAUUGCCAUUAGUUGCUUAAGCUUAUAUUUCUCAACAUAAUUUAGAGGAGGAGGAGGUGAUGACUUGCAUUUGGAGAUUUUAAUCUCUAAGCCUUGCAUUGAGAUAAUGAGUUUAUCCUUAAAUUUUAAAAACAUAGGAAAUUAAUUUUAUAUAUAAGUUGUAGCAUAAUGUUUCAUAAGUCUAUUUCUAACACUCUUAUGAGCCUUAUAUUGUGUAACCUAAAUAUCAUUAUAAAGUUCCUUAAACACUUUUAUGAGUUUAGAGCUUCUACCUUCACCAUCAAAGCCUUCACCUCCAUCUACACCAUGUAAUGUGGAGUAUCCACCAUAGCCUUGACCAAUUGGAGCCUUCAUGAUGUUACAUAAAAUUUGCUCAUUUGUGAAUUUGCAUCACACUUGAAGCUCUUCAUUCACCAUUUUAUUCCUAAUCUCCUUGUGUUGCACUUCCUCACAUAGAGGCACCUCCUCACAUGGAAGCACAUCGUCCACCUCCUUAGUUUUGUCUUUCCUCACAUAAGUCACAUUUUCCAUUUCCUUAUAUUGCACUUUUUCCUCCAUCUCCUCAUAUUGCAUAUAGAAGCAUCUCCUCUGCCUCCUCAUAUGAAGGCACCUUCUCUAUUUUCGUGUGUUGCACCUCCUCAUAUGGAGGGAGCUCUGAAUCCUUUAGCAUCUAGGAGUUCUAGAUUUUCCAGCACUUCAUGAGACUCAAGCUCUAAAUCUUACUUUUCACGUCAUACAAUAUAAAAUUGUGUUCUAGGCUCCAUUGCCCCACUACAUAAGUUCUAAAAGAGUUAGCAAACAAAUUCUAACACAUUGAAUUGAAUCCUUACAUUUCAAUGGCAAUCAUUACACCAUUUGUAGUGAUGAAAACUCUAACUAGUGCAUGUUUUUAAAGUGUUGGUGCAAUUUCUUUUAAUAUCUCCAUUUCAAUAGGAUCCUCCACCAGUGGUGUUUUUAUGUGAUUUGUAGUGGAGUUGAUUCUUCCACAAUUUGUAAAGGACCAAGAUCUUGUUGAAAAAAUGCAUAUGUUUUGUGGAUCUGGGGAAUAGAAUAUAAUAUGGUCCUCGAUAUUGAAGCCAUAUGUACAUGAAUAACAUGCCCAUUCUAAGCCUAAAAAUUCACAAUACCCACCUCAAUAGAGCAUGAAUGUUUCUCUUAGGAAACAAAAAUAAUAACAAAUGUGUCAAUAGGUAGAAAUUUAUUAUGCCACCCACAAAUUAGUAUUCCCGUACAUGAAUUAGAACCAUGCAUGGUUGAUCUAUAAAUAUUGCCUCUAAAUCUCCAUUUACACUUUGCAUAAAACACAGGUUCAUAUUGUUUACUAUAUAUUUUAAAGCUUAUCAGCAAAAGACUAGCUUGAAAGUAUGUUUGCGUGAGUGUGGUCAUGUAUAUGUAUAGGUUGAGCAAAUUCAGCAAAGUGGAGGGCAUCACCCAUAUGCCCCCUUCCACGUCAUAUAAACACAUGCAUAAUUGACACAUAAAGAAUCAUUACAACCACUUGUGUAUAACUAUAACAUUCCAAUGCCCCACAAUUAUGCUCACUGCAAUGAGCAUAAAACUUAUACCAAUGAAAAAAGCUAAAUAAAUGAAAAAUUACCCCACACAAUAACUAUCUCUAUGUAUUGCAAUAUGCCCAAGAAAAGAAACAAAAAGCCUUGACCAACAAUCUAAUAUAAACUCCAACCUUAAGUCCACAAUCAAUGCAAGAACAAUGCCUAUAUCACGUGGGAAUAGCACAAUAUGCCCAAAACACAAAGGAACGAGAGUUACAAGUAUUUGCAAUCUCACUUAACCUUGAUCAAUAUAUGCUAAUCUUCAAGUGCCAACAUCACUCCUAAAUAGCACACAUGAAAGAAUGGAAGUCAUAACUGCUUGCAUACAAAGACCUCUCACCCAAACCCUAAUCAAUGCAUGCUCCUACUCUUCAUCACACCCACCAAUAUGUAAAAUUUGCUUUUGAAGCAUAUCAUGCCCACAUCACACCUAAGAUUGUGGGAAAGCUGUUGUUCUUGGCUGGAUAUAAAGGAAGUGCAAUACUAAAGACAAAAAAAACUUCACUAGAUUUUUUGUGAUGUCUAUGUGGCAGGUUUAAAUGGCAUACAAAUCACAUUUUAAUCAUAUAAAAUGAUGUACUUUAAAUUCUGUUGAUUCCAUAUCAUCAUAUUUUCUUGUAGUGUUAGUGAUAUAAAAAACAUAUUUAACUUUACUUUUACUACAUAGGCCUUGCAAAACACCUCUGAUAUCUUGGAUCAAACUUCCAUGCUUAGUCACCUAAAACAGUACUUUUAGAAGUUCAGACUCUUAAACAACUUUAAGUAGCCUUUUAUGGUCUUAUUAAACGUAUUAUUCCCCAGGAGUAAUGGAUAUUUCUGCACACCCACAUUGGCAAGUUGCAUCAAACACAAUCACUUAGCAAGUUGGCCUCAAACACAAUCACGUUUCCCCAAUAACUAGCACAACUCCACCAAAAAAAUAUCAAUAGCAUUACCCCUUGAUCUUGCCACUAUGGAGAACAAAACGUGCCAUGAUACUAGUUUAUAUUUUCGAAGCGCAACUACACAUGAAAUUCGAAAAGUCAACAAUCAUUUUCCAGGAUAUAGCUUUCUAACAUCAAUCGGCGCUGGUGGUGAUUGCAUGGCAGCAAAAAGUUUGGCCGAGGCAAUUCGAAUCUCAGACAAAGUUGCCGCAAGGUCCACGAACACAAACUCGAGCAAGGUCUGUAGGAACCAAUGUAGGAUCUUCUUAGCAGCGGUCGACCAUGUCGGAGACUACCUCAAGCGAAUCCAGGAUCUCAACUUCACGAGCACUGGGACAGCUUUCGUGUGGGACGAAACCGUGGCUGUCCUUAAGAGAGGCCUCCAUCUCCUCAAGUCGUGCCAAGAAGGCAAUUGGAUCGCGCGGAGCCUGCUGUUCAAGGAAAGCUGCGAUGAGUUCCAGAGCAUUUAUACCGUCCACCUCGGUAAGAUCCAAGAUUGCCAAAGCUUACAACUCGUGCCUCAUGAGGCAAAACUCGAACAGCAUGCUGGAAGAAGCCGGAAGGAAUGACAGGAAGGCGCUCAUGGCUCUCGCAAUGAGCCAAGAGCCGGGAAGCCUGACGACCGAGAGCGAGCAAGCCAAAGAGAUACUUUGCUCCAUGCUCCUGGGAAACAAGUCAGUGAUUAACCACAAGGAACUCAAGCUGACAACACACCUGGGACAAGGCGGUUUCGGAACCGUGUACGAAGCAAUCUGGCUCGGUCACAAGUUUGCAGUGAAAGUCUUCCCUCAAGGUGACAAGAGCUUCGCCAAAGAGCUCGCGGUUCUCGAAGCGGACAAGCAUCCCAACGUGUUGCACAUCGCCGGUCAUUCUUUCGAUGAAGAGAAGCAGCGGUACUCGCUGGUGAUGGAG